UACAGAGGGUACAAGCGUUAAUCGGAAUUACUGGGCGUAAAGGGCGCGUAGGCGGGAUGGCAAGUCGGUCGUGAAAUCCCUCGGCUCAACCGAGGAACGUCGAUCGAUACUGCUGUUCUUGAGGAUUGCAGAGGAGACUGGAAUUCCCGGUGUAGCGGUGAAAUGUGUAGAGAUCGGGAGGAACACCGGUGGCGAAGGCGGGUCUCUGGGCAAUUCCUGACGCUGAGGCGCGAAAGCGUGGGGAGCAAACGGG
rnacentral:rRNA from 1 species